rnacentral:rRNA from 1 species
GACGAACGUUGGCGGCGUGCUUAACACAUGCAAGUCGAACGGAAAGGCCCUGCUUUUGUGGGGUGCUCGAGUGGCGAACGGGUGAGUAACACGUGAGUAACCUGCCCUUGACUUUGGGAUAACUUCAGGGAACUGGGGCUAAUACCGGAUAGGAGCUCCUGCUGCAUGGUGGGGGUUGGAAAGUUUCGGCGGUUGGGGAUGGACUCGCGGCUUAUCAGCUUGUUGGUGGGGUAGUGGCUUACCAAGGCUUUGACGGGUAGCCGGCCUGAGAGGGUGACCGGCCACAUUGGGACUGAGAUACGGCCCAGACUCCUACGGGAGGCAGCAGUGGGGAAUAUUGCACAAUGGGCGGAAGCCUGAUGCAGCAACGCCGCGUGCGGGAUGACGGCCUUCGGGUUGUAAACCGCUUUCGCCUGUGACGAAGCGUGAGUGACGGUAAUGGGUAAAGAAGCACCGGCUAACUACGUGCCAGCAGCCGCGGUGAUACGUAGGGUGCGAGCGUUGUCCGGAUUUAUUGGGCGUAAAGGGCUCGUAGGUGGUUGAUCGCGUCGGAAGUGUAAUCUUGGGGCUUAACCCUGAGCGUGCUUUCGAUACGGGUUGACUUGAGGAAGGUAGGGGAGAAUGGAAUUCCUGGUGGAGCGGUGGAAUGCGCAGAUAUCAGGAGGAACACCAGUGGCGAAGGCGGUUCUCUGGGCCUUUCCUGACGCUGAGGAGCGAAAGCGUGGGGAGCGAACAGGCUUAGAUACCCUGGUAGUCCACGCUGUAAACGGUGGGUACUAGGUGUGGGGUCCAUUCCACGGGUCCCGUGCCGUAGCUAACGCUUUAAGUACCCCGCCUGGGGAGUACGGCCGCAAGGCUAAAACUCAAAGGAAUUGACGGGGCCCCGCACAAGCGGCGGAGCAUGCGGAUUAAUUCGAUGCAACGCGUAGAACCUUACCUGGGUUUGACAUGGAUCGGGAGUGCUCAGAGAUGGGUGUGCCUCUUUUGGGGUCGGUUCACAGGUGGUGCAUGGCUGUCGUCAGCUCGUGUCGUGAGAUGUUGGGUUAAGUCCCGCAACGAGCGCAACCCUUGUUCACUGUUGCCAGCACGUUAUGGUGGGGACUCAGUGGAGACCGCCGGGGUCAACUCGGAGGAAGGUGGGGAUGACGUCAAGUCAUCAUGCCCCUUAUGUCCAGGGCUUCACGCAUGCUACAAUGGCUGGUACAGAGAGUGGCGAGCCUGUGAGGGUGAGCGAAUCUCGGAAAGCCGGUCUCAGUUCGGAUUGGGGUCUGCAACUCGACCUCAUGAAGUCGGAGUCGCUAGUAAUCGCAGAUCAGCAACGCUGCGGUGAAUACGUUCCCGGGGCU